UACAGAGACUGCAAGCGUUAUUCGGAUUCACUGGGCGUAAAGGGUGCGCAGGCGGUUGGGUGUGUCAGAUGUGAAAUCCCGAGGCUCAACCUCGGAACUGCGUCUGAAACUACUCGACUAGAGUACUGGAGAGGGUAACGGAAUUCACGGUGUAGCAGUGAAAUGCGUAGAUAUCUGGAGGAACACCGGUGGCGAAGGCGGCAUCCUGGACCGGCAUUGACGCUGAGGCGCGAAAGCCAGGGGAGCAAACGGG
rnacentral:rRNA from 1 species